CGAGGGGUAACAGAUCUUCGGAUGCUGACGACCGGCGAACGGGUGAGUAACACGUAUGCAACUUACCCAUAACUCGGGAAUAGCCCAAAGAAAUUUGGAUUAAUACCCAAUAAUACAGGCGUACCGCAUGGUAUUCUUCGUUAAAGAAUAAUCGGUUAUGGAUAGGCAUGCGUUCUAUUAGGUAGUUGGUGAGGUAACGGCUCACCAAGCCGACGAUGGAUAGGGGAACUGAGAGGUUGUCCCCCCACACUGGUACUGAGACACGGACCAGACUCCUACGGGAGGCAGCAGUGAGGAAUAUUGGUCAAUGGACGAAAGUCUGAACCAGCCAAAUCGCGUGAAGGAAGAAGGUAUUAUGUAUCGUAAACUUCUUUUGUAAGAGAGUAAAGUGCACUACGUGUAGUGUAUUGCAAGUACCUUACGAAUAAGCAUCGGCUAAUUCCGUGCCAGCAGCCGCGGUAAUACGGAAGAUGCAAGUGUUAUCCGGAUUUAUUGGGUUUAAAGGGUGCGUAGGUGGUCUAAUAAGUCAGUGGUGAAAUCUCUUUGCUUAACAAGGAAAUUGCCAUUGAAACUGUUAGACUUGAGAAUGGACGAGGUAGGCGGAAUUCGUAGUGUAGCGGUGAAAUGCAUAGAUAUUACGAAGAACUCCAAUAGUGUAGACUGCUUACCAGACCAUAUCUGACACUAAGGCACGAAAGUGUGGGUAUCAAACAGGAUUAGAUACCCUGGUAGUCCACACAGUAAACGAUGAAUACUAACUGUUUGCGAUAUACAGCAAGUGGUCGAGCGAAAGCGUUAAGUAUUCCACCUGGGAAGUAUGCCGGCAACGGUGAAACUCAAAGGAAUUGACGGGGGCCCGCACAAGCGGAGGAACAUGUGGUUUAAUUCGAUAAUACGCGAGGAACCUUACCCGGGCU
rnacentral:rRNA from 1 species